AAAAUAUAUCACAGAGGAUUGUGAAAUCAAGCCUGGAAUAUCCAAAAAUCUAACAAUUGCCUUUCCAUGUUCAGAAUUGAAUCAAUUAUUUAAACGAAGCAACAACAUAAAUAAAAUACAAACAUAUUAUUAUGGAGGUAAGAAUAAAGUAACAGGGCUGUGAGUUACUGAUAUGCAACAAACCUCUUCAUUGGCCACUUACAUUUCUCGCACGUGACAACUUUCAUCGUCAACGCUUCUUCAAACGGAACAACCGCCGUGUGACUCAGUUCACACGGCUUCUCCGCCGCAAUCUCAAUCGCCUCCGUAAAACCCAACCCCUUCGCAUACUCUCCCCACCGCACAAUCUUUCUCAUCCUCUCCGUCAUCUUCUCUCCAUCAACCGUCUCCGCAGUUGAUCCAUUCCCAAUGAUUCCCCAACCUCUAUGUUUCCCGUAAUCGAAGUCGAGAAGGUUCCUAACUUCUUCAAAAACACGAUCAGGUUUCGAUGGUUCAAUUACAAUCCGCUUGAGUUUUGAUCUUUCGAUGCUUUCUAAUCGGAGCCAGAAGAGCUGUUGCAAUGUAGGACUGAACAAAAUUGAGCUCUCUUCCAUGGCUCGCUCGUCUCGUCUCUGGUUGCUUAGGUAAAUCAGCUCUAACUGGAACCCUAGGUUUUGAAUUUUUCUCGCUAGUGACACAAAUUCGUCAAUCCAAUCCAAAUUCUCGCUUCCGAAUAUGCAGAUCUCUCUUCCUUCAAAUGUAGGAUGAAUUCCAUCAAGCAAGAGAUUGAUAGACCAUCCAUGUUCUUUCCAAAGCUCAUCUUCUCUAGAAACUGAGAAUGGAUAUGCUUUAACACCCCAAAUCAACACCAUAUCCAUGGCAUUCAUGUUGACGAACCUCCCGUUAGAAUCGAUAACAACCAACAUUGCUUCGUUAUCUUUAUAAUGCCAUUCUUGUUUGAAAAAGUUGAGUAUUGUGGAGCUCAUCAACCAUGGUUGCCUUACUGAGAUCCAUGGUAAGGAAUUGGAGUAGAAAUCGAAGAUUUCUUUCUCUUCGUCUGUCCAUUUUUGGGAUGAUGGUAUUGGAACCCAUAUGAUCUCGUAGUUUUGUUCUGUGUUGGUGUUAGAUGGAUGAUCGUAUAGCUGUUGGAGUAGGAAGAAAAGUGGCUCUACUGGUGGCUUUGAUAAUAGCAGUAGUGUUACCUUAUCUUGUACCUCAGUUAUAGAUAUCUGCCAUUGGGUGAAUAAAGAAUAUUCAAUGCUAUUGCAAUUUUGCAAAGAUAAAAGAAUCGGUCUAUGUAUCGUCAUACGGAAUGUCGGAGCUCAUCUUUAUGUAAAGUUAAAGACGAGACAUGAAAGAAACAAUAAGAAGGAACAUGGAAAAAGAAAAAUAGAUAGUUCUUUAUACCUGUCUGGAGUAUUGUUGAAGUGGCAAAUCAUCUUGUAGAGAAAAAAGUAGGUGGAGUACGUCUUGGUUGUCUUGAUGAGUCUCUAUGUUAAUGUUUCUAAGCCUUUGAUUGAUUUCUUCCUCUUUAGAUAUAACAACAGAGGAGCAAUAUCAGAGAUCGAGUUUUGCUUUUAGUAGAAAGUUGUGAUUAUGGAACUUAACAUCAGAAGAUUUGAAAGUUACCUAUUUGUGUGCUGCAAUCUUCUACCUGCUUGUUGAGGCGGGUGUGUAUGUUCAGCAACUGAUAUCCCAAACUAGACAGUUCUCCUGCUGCUCUCCUUGAUUCAAUUGAAAGUUCCGCUGCUGUUUUCCUUGAUUUUUUUGCCUACGUAUUUCAGAGAAUUCCUAGUCAUGAGAAAACUCAAUGUUGACUGCUAAUAUGCUGGAAACAAUUUCUGUGUGUCUGGUUCUUCAUUUUGCAGAGAAGAUAUAAGAAGGGUGAAAAUUUGCACCUGCUGCGUUUGCUUGAAAUAAGGGAUCUGCUGCAUGCAUGCAACUGGUUGAGUUUUGCAAUUGAUGCUGCAACGGGAUCACAGAUGGCCAGAUGAACUGGUAGCAAUAGUCCUCCAUAUGUUGCGGCAAGGACUCCUAGUACUAACACAGCUUUUGCAUCCCAUCUGUAUUCCUUGAGAAGAUCAAACAAAACCAUUGUCCUUUUCCGGAUCUCAUUUUCCCCAGUACAUGGACAAAGCAUCUGCAACCUCAAGAGUUUCACAAUUUCGGGUCUUUCAGAAAGAGUUUAUUUGAGAAGAAAGGAUGAUCAGUUUACCUGAACGGAGAUUCUGAAGAUAGCGUAUGGUAGUGUUUCCUUUGAGUCAAAAACUUCAAUGGUGGUGAUACAAUUCUCUGUCAGAAGCGGUCUAGAAACCUGAAAGUUUAGUGGCAUUGUUAUUGGCCAGAAUCAAGACAACUCUUUGAAGAAUUGGACCCCAAGGGAUGGAUAUAGCUCACAUCAUUUUGCAGAACAAAGCUUAAGAUGGUUUCGACUUCUUGAAGCAGCAUUUCGGAAUCAAGCCAGCGACCGUCUGGAUCAUGGCUACGAAGUAGCUGCUCAACUAUGAUGUCUUCAUUCAGAGCAGAGAUGUCGCGUCGGAAAUUCAUGGUAAAUGGUUGUUGUUCUAAAAAGACUCUACUUUGAAUAUGUAUUUACUAAACACAAAACAGCUUUGUCUCUUUGGUUUGCGUGAUAAAAAUAUUAGUAGGGUCCCUGAAACUAAAGAUUGUUGAGCAAUAUGACUGGAAUCUUAUUCAAAG
rnacentral:lncRNA from 1 species